AUACAAUAUAUUAGAAUGAAUUAAAAACAAAAACAAAAUUGAACCUAUUUGUAAAUAUAAUGCUGUUAAUAAUAAUGUUCCUUAAUAAAAAUAUAAUAACGUUCCUCAAUAAAAAAAAAAAUAAUGAAAAAAUUGUAAUGUUAUAAAAAACAAACAAAGUAAUUCUUAGAAUAUAAAACUAUAUUUGUUAAGUAUUUUUAAGAAAUUGUUCAAUAAAAAUAGUUUAAUCUUGUCGAUUGUCAUCCGGUUGAUCGUGAGUUCUUUCUCCGGGUGGGGAGGGAUGUUGUAUCUCCUCCUAUACCUACCAGAGGAAAUCGUCGUGCGUUGAACUCAGCACACUUCAAUUGUGUUGUACUCUUUGAUUGCCAAUUCGAUAUCAUAUUACGGAUAUUGUUUUGGGUCAAUCAAAGUGCAAUCAUACAAUAGUUGAAUUGUGCUGACUCUUUUAACGUGCCGACGAUUAUCCACUGCGAAUGUUUGGGCUUGCGGUCACCAAAAUGACACGACAAGAUUGGUCUUGAUCAAACAUUCAAUGAAGUCGGUCGCUUUGCUUUCUUUACAGUUAGAACACUUUAACUUGUUGUUGGUGCUGUUGUUGUUAAUAUUGUUUAUGUUGUUGUUGAUGCAGCAUUUGUAUUUGAUGUUGUUGGUGUUGCUUUUGCUGCUGCUUUUGUUGUUGCUGUUUGUUUUGUUGUUGAAGUUGUUGUUGUUGUUGGUGUUGGUGUUGGUGUUGGUGUUGCUGUUUCUGUUGUUGUUGCUGUUGAGUUUGGUGUUGCUGUUGUUGUUGGUGGUGUUGAUGGUGUUUUUGUAGUUUUUGUUGUUGUGGUUGUUGUUGUUGUUGUUGCCGCUUCCGCUGCUGUAGCUGUUGCUGCUGCUGCUGCUGCUGUUGCCAUAUCCGCUGUUGUUGUUGUUGUUGUUGUUGUUGUUGUUGUUGUUGUUGUUGUUGUUGUUGUUGUUGUUGUUGUUGUUUUUGUUGUUGUUGUUGUUGUUGUUGUUGUUGCUGUUGUGGUUGUUGUGGUUGUUGUUGUUGCUUUCGUUGUUGUAUUUAUUAAUGUUGUUGUGGUUGUUAAUGUUGUUGUUGGUGUUGUUGUUGCUUUUGCUGCUGCUGUUGUUGAUUUUGCUGUUGGUGUAUGUCUUGGUGUUGGUGGUGUUGUUGGUGUUGAUAAUGGUGUUGGUUUUGGUGUUAAUGUUGUUGGUGUUGUUGUUUCUGGCACUGUUGUUGCUGCCAUAGCCACUGUUGUUGUUGUUGAUGGCGUUGUUGUUGUUUUUGUUAGUGUUGUUGUUUUGUGAGUUGAUGUUUGUUUAUUUUCUCUAUGAUUUGCUAUUCUGAGUUCGUUGGAUUGCUGCAACCGGGCUCCUUACCUUCGUUGUUUUUAGGCGACAGCGUUCUGUUCAGAUAUUCGUUCGUACUCUGCUGUGUUGGGUUUAUAGCUUGUUUUUUGGAUUCAGUUCUGUUGAUCCAAUUAUAGUUGUUUUUGUUUUUGGUUUACUGAUGUUCGUAACUUUUGACUGUUGCGGGGGCGAAUUUUUUGUAGAGCGGGUUCUUUUUCUAGAGUUUUCUGAGUCGUAGUCUGUGCUUUCUUUCCAAACUUUUCCGUCUACUACUAAUUCAUCCAGAUUAAAAUAUGCUCUUUUACCUUGUUUUUUGAACUCGAUCAGUUUUGGGACCAGAGGUUUUCUAGCCUCAAGGUGCGAUUUCGGGAGAUCCUCUGCGAUACUGUAAUUAGCAAUCGAUUUUUUCGUUUGGAGAAUCUUUUUUUUUUGUUCGUAGCUUUUGAAUGUAAGACGAAUUGGUCUUGUUUUUUCUUGGGUAAUUUUUCCUAAACGGUAGCAGUUUUCAAUGUCAUUUAUUGUUCUUCGAUGCUAUUAUUUAUGAUAUUAAUAACAAGUAGCUACUUUGAGCUCAUCUGCAUUUGAUUCAGUUUCUUCUACUUUAAAAAUUACUAAAUUACUUUUUCUUAGUCCUACUUCUAGCUGCGCUAUUCUUUUUUCUUGUUUAUAACACAUAAUUUCUUGUUUUUCUAUUAUAUUUCCCUGUGUUUCCACGAUUUUCUCCAGCUUAUCCACUCUUUCUGAAAUGAUUCCUACUUUCUCAUCCGUAUUUUUAAUCACUCUGUCGGUGGCUUCAUUAAUGUUUUAAAGAAUUUCCUCUUUUUGAUUUUUUAAAAGGGAUUUAAGAUCUUUCAAAGUAAUAGUUGCCAUUUUUUACUUCAGCAGUACUUUUUUGAUACUUGAUGCCGGCCCUGGAUGAUUUUCUACUAGCUCGUUAAGCUAAUGGGUAAGAGAUUUAUUUCUACUGUCAGCUGUCAGAUAGCUCGUUUGUCAAAUGCUAUUAAAUCAGAGUUCAGUGUGGUGGUUUUUUGUUUGUUCUUUUUUUCCUUUUCCAAAACGUAUUUAAAUAAUUGUUUAAUUUAUCAUUUCGAGAUUUAAAUAAUUUAAUUAAUUGGAUUUAUUCUCUAUUUAAUAAAUGUUAAGAUGGUUCUAGUUUUUGAUGUUUUGCUUCUGUGUAUAAGAGAGGAUGAAGUGGAUGUACUCACCGUAUAGAAUGAGUUUCUGGAAGUGUCCCGUAUAGUUUGAGGAGUUUAAAUAUAAAUUAAUUAUUUUGAAGAUUAUAUUCAAUUUCUUUUUGAAAAAAAACCCGUAAAAUAUCUUUAAUUUCAACCAAAACUUCACAAUUUUCAAGCCAAUACUUAGGCACACUUCUUAAGACCAAAUUUCAAUCUAUACAAACACUGUUAUCUCGAAAAUUUUCUUCGUAUCUCAGGAGCCAAAUCAAAUACGUCCUUUUUCAGCCACACCAACAAAAAAAGAGUCAAAGCCAUAUAUAAUAUAUAUUUUUAGAGGUGCAAUUUAUAAGAAAGGAAGAAAAAAGUGCAGUUCAGAGGCAUCUAAAAUGUUGUAUUUAAUUUUGUCAUGGUUAUUGUUGUUUGUUCCUGCCGCUAUAGAUGCUUGACCUCAUCCUCCUCGGUCGCAAGUACCGAACUGAAACAAUAUGGAAGUGGGUGUGCCCUAUAAAUAAGUACACUUGUUGAUCUUCUACCGAAAUAAAGGCGUUUGGGACCAUAUAGCAAGCUUUCCUAUAAUAGACUCGCAUUAUUGCAAUGCUAGUACAAGCAGGAAGCCACUUAAAUAUAAGUAAAUAAAAUAUAGGGCUUUACAAGGAAUCUUCAUAUAAUCCCGUCAAACAACAUAUUUACUGACGGGAAUUCAAUUACAAUUUUAACUUGUCGUUUUAUAAGCCAAAAAAGGAUCAGUGCGACUGAUGUUAGAUUUUCAAGGCAAACACAAACCCAAGAGUUACACAGCGGUCGUAGUGAUGACGAUAUUGCUAGUUCCAUUUUUAAAAUUUUGGGUCAAAUAUUCUCCGACAACCCUUUCAUUAAAACUUUAACUCUUUGGAGUGAUUCCUGUGUCUCCCAGAACAAAAACAAAGUGAUGUCUACUGCUUUGAUUUCUUUUUUGCAACAUAAAACGUCUCUAAAAACAAUAACAAAAAAAUUUUCGGAACCUGGAUCCUGGACAUUCCUUGAUUCAAGAAAUAGACUGCGUCCAUACCUCCAUCGACAAGUACCUUCGGCACUUAGAAGUAUUUAGUCAGCUUUCUCUCUUGUGACAUCUCAAAAAUAAUAUGAAUUUUAAAAACGUUAAAUUAAAAUUAAUUUAAAUGCUGCCUAGAGACUUCAAAGCAUUCUCUGCUAAAGCUGGUCAGUUAAACUUCUGUUCUAUUCCAUUCAGUAAAAUUAAAUUUAUCAAAUAUAUUACAGAAGUGGAAUAUAAAAGCGCAUCAAUAUUUAAAAGAUACAAAAAUUCUACCAUAGCAGCUCCCGUAAAUUUGUUCAACCAAUGUCUUAAAAUUACUAAAAAAUCUAACUCGAUAACUAAGGAUAAGAAUAAUGAUAUUAAAAGCCUUUUCAUAUUUAUGCCUAAAUCAGACCACGAAUGUUAUGCAGCGUUAUUCAAAUCAAAAAAUUAGAAUAAAUUCUUAAAUUUGAUAUUUAUUUAAUUUUGCUUUUAUUUAUGAUCAUAAUAUUUAAUUAUUAAUUUAACCAAACUUUGUUUAUUUUUUUUUUAUUUUUUUUAAUUUUUUUUUCAUGUUUAUCGUCAUAGGAUGACCGAUUUUGUUUUUUUCUUUGUUUUUAAUCUAUUUAUUUUAAUAAUUAAGCCUCUAAGUCAAACCAAUACUACUUCUAUGUAAUAAGAAACUAUUUUUGUAAUGUUUAAUUAAUAAACAAAAACGAACUAAGAAAAUUGAAAAUUUACUUUUUUAAUUGUGUCUUAGUAUAUUGGAGUGUCAUACGUGCAUCUACUUUGUCGUACGUGUAUGGGAUGGAAAAUGGAAAAUAUGGGAUGGUGGCGUUUUCGACAAACUGAUUUUGGAUUGAAUUUAUCAAGACGCAUUCAUUUUUAAAAAGAAAAUUUACUAUUGAUUGUUCAUCGUUUUACCAAUUUGACAAUUACUUGGAUUUCUGUUUUUUGUUAAUUACGGAGUCAAGACUUGGGUCGAUAUUUAUUAUUUGGUAAUUUUUUAAACGGUGCAAUAAUAGCUGCGGAAGCACAUUUUGCAACAUUUCAACAAUGCAUUCCUUUUUUUGGAUUAAAACUUUCCCAUAUUAUUUAUAAUAAUUUUAUAAACAAAUCAUGGUGAAAUCAAACAGAACUCCGUUUUCUUGCUUGAAGGGAUUAACCAAAACAUCUACUAUUAGUAGACCACCACCUCCGAAGCCGAAGGAACAGGGCUCUUGAUGACAAGCCACGACUACAACACGCCAGACACUGCAAUCUGCAAUAAAUAACUUUUUGGCGCUUUGUCAUUUUCUUGCCCUUGGCUUUCUUUCUUCAAUUCUCCUUUUCGCACUUUUGAUCACGCUUCUUCUUCGACUUUGUGUUCAUACACAAUGUCUUGUAAAUGUGUGAGUGUAAACUUGUCUAAUCUCAGAUUUGGCGUUUCUAAAUGGAGCAAUAAUAUCUGAACUCAGUUUUCUUGCUUGAAGGGAAGGCAAGAAAAUGAGAAAACGCCAUUUUGUUAUUUAUUUGUUGCAAUUCCUCGCGUGUCACGUGCCGUGCUCGUGACUCGUCAUAAAUAUUAAUAACAAUAUUUGGGCCUAUUCGGCGAGAUCUUUUAUUCUGCUAUUCAGUUAUUCUUAUAUGAAUUUCCAAACAAAAAUCUAAUCUGUCAAAAAAUCUUUUAUGAUUUUCAUAUUUAGUAUUCGGCAUACACAAUCUGCUAUGAAAUCUUUUAUAAAAUCUUUAACGAAGUUCGAACUGUCAAAAAUUCUUUUACGAAUCUCAUUUUUGGUAUUCAGCAAGCCUUAAUCUGUUAUGAAAUCUUUUAUGAAUUAUAAAAGAAUAAAAGACAGAUUUUUGUUGCUUUUAUCAUAAAAGAUUUCAUGAAAGUAGCAAAUUUUCAAUAAAAGUAGGUGUUUUUUUAUAUUUAGCUUUGUUUUAUAAAUAACUGAGACGGAGGUUAGUUUUUUUAUUCGUAUAAUACCAUCAAGCAAUUAAAAAAAAAAAAAAACAAAGUUAAUUCAGAUACGACAAGUUAGUGACAAAUCUAAUGCAAAACUAAAAGCAUCAACCAAACACCAAGAUCACUUCACCCACUAUUCCGUCUUCAAUCAAGCAACUGCCAAAAGGAACGGUCGUCCUCGCCUCGACUCGACAUUGCAAUCCUAUUUCAUCUCCAAGAACUACCACCUCCUUGGAACAAAUUUUUCACUUGAUAUAAAUGAAACUAAGAAACACCAUGUUUAUUUAAAUUAUAAUUUAUUUCAUAAAUAAAAUGAAAACACAUAUUUUACAAAAAAUAGGGAAGUUAAAGCCUUAACUACAAUGACCUAAAAAGUGGUAAAUUUACAAAAGUAACAAUUUUUUAUUUUUUUCUAGCGCUAUUUGUUUUUGGAAAAAACUACAAAAAUUGUUUCUUAAAGCAAAAAAUAAGGUUUCUGCAUCAUUAUCUUUAAUUUUUUCAGUUUGAAUAUUUUCACUUUUUGACUUUUUUCAAAAAGUAACAAUUGCAUUUAAAUUAUUGCAAUCUUCACUGAGCACUUUAUCCAAUGUCCAUGUAAUAGGGUUGGUUUUGUAGCGGUGAGGUAUCUGCUCCAGAUUCUAAAUAUUUUGCGAAAUGCAAGAUGCACGCGAAUCUAAUUAUUUACUUAAAUUUUAUAGGAAGAAACACAAUUUUGCUGGAUGAUCUACGAGAAAAUUCAAUUCACUUUACUUUCCACAUUUCGAUUGGUUUUUUUUUUUCUUUGGGAAUGACAGAUGAUAAAAGAUUUAAGAUCAGUUUGCAGUUUGCUAUAAACAAAUAUAGCAGAUUUUCCUUUUCGAAGUUUCAAAACUGAAUUUUAUAAAAGUUCGAACUCCUGAAUACCAAUUAUAAAAAAUCUUUUAUCUUUGAGAUCGUUUAUCAUUCAUAACAGAAAAUUCAUAGCAGAAUAAAAGAUUUGGCAGAAUAGGCCCAAUUAUUAACUUUAAUUGAAAUAAAAAAAGCUAUGCAUUGCUGAUAUAACCCUAUUUAUCAAGUUCCUGCUAUUAAACACGGAGGAGGUGUGGGGUAAGUAUAAAAUACUCAUGAAAAGAAAUUAAUAGUAAAUUUUUGUUUAGGGUUUGUUUUCUCGAGAAGUGUGUCACUUGUGCCAAAUGAAAAGAAUAAAUCGGAUGAAUGCAGAAAUGUGCAAGGACAUUGUGGAAAACCAUAUGUUCCACAUUUUUAGUCCAAUAUCCCCGAAAACAGCUUGUUUACACUAGAUAAUGACCCCAAAAACACCAGCCGGUUAGAAAAAAGCUUUUUGAAAAUGACCAAUUUCGCUGUUCUGAAGUGUCUAACGCGAUCUUCAGACCCCAAUACCACAGAAAAUUUGUAGGAUCUUGUAGAUCGGGUGAUUAGAAACCGAAAGCAUUCAAAAUGCACAGUUCUGAUGGAGCAAAUUUGAUCAGAAUGUGAACAAAUACCAUAAAAUUUAUGAUAGUCUUUAAUAGACUCAAUACCAAAAAAAUCCGCGCCUUUGUUUCAAAUAAAGGGUUCCCAACAAAAUAUUAAUAAAAUAUGAACCUAAAAAACCAAAAACAUAAACAAAAAAUAUGAAUAAAUCAUUAUACUUUAUUGUUUUUUACACAUUUGCAUUUUUUUGCUCGGCUAAAAACGCAUCUUUAGGCAGACUUUUGACCAAAUAAUUGUCUUGAAGUAAGAUAUUCCACAAAUCGACUCUGUUUCGUGAAAAUAAAACAUUUUCAAUAUUGUGUGCCAAAUUUGGUAGCAUAACGAUGUAAAAUGACUUAGUUAUCAUGUAAAACUCUUUUCACCUUUUUCGUUUGCAUUUUUUUUGCUCGCUACUGUAUUUAAGCAAUUUACUAAUCAAUAAUAAUUAAUCUUUUUUUGGAAACAUUCUUCUCCGGCAAACCAAUCCACCAACAUUUAACAGCUACAAUUCAUUUCAACAAUUUAUCGAAUUGAAUGCAAUGCCAUUCCAGUUGCUGUAUCAACAGAAAAUGGCUAUAAUAAAUAAUAUAAUAGGUGUGUUUUUUAUUACCACCAGGCUUAACUGGACAAAAAAAACGCAUCGGGGCUUAACCUGAAAUCUUGGCAGCACUGUAUAUUGAAUUUUCCGAAAACACAAGACACAACAAAUAUUUAGAGUUAUCAUAUUUUUCGCUUUCGAGUUUUUUCUUUAUUUUCAUGUUUGUUUUACAAAAAAAAUACAAUAAUGGGCACGUUCAGGAAUUAUUAGGGACUAGAUAUUUAGGCAACGUCACUUUCUGAACGGAAAUUUGAGUAAAUUGACUAAAUUAGUUUGGAUAUGAUGCUAUUGUCAAAUUUUGAAAUUCACUUAAGUAUUUUACCGAUCGCAUAGGGAAGAAACCAAAUUUCAAUUAACUUUAAUGAAUAAAUAAUAUUAAUUAUAACCGAUAAUGCACUUUUUAUUCGUUUUUUACACAAAUAAAUUUAAUAUUGCUAAAUUGAUUCUUAAAUUAAAAACAAUCUGCUGUCAUGUUGACAAAAAAAGCUUUCCUAAAUUUUUAGGGAAAAUUUUCUUGCCUAACUUUCCAGUUGGCUUUCCAAUAAAAUUACCUAAAUUGGAAAGAUUUUUUUUGACAGCUGACCAAUCAGAGACCGAGAAAUUACCUAAAUAUUUAGUGCCUAACAUUUCUGAACCUGCCCAAUGUAUGCUAGUAAACCUAGUUAAAUACAUUUUAUCAUUCCAAACGUGAGUUUUCACGUUUGUAAACAAAUUCUAAACAGUUUCUGAAAAAAAUAGUUUGGUAGCACAGAUUUAAAACUGUUCAAAAAGUUAAGCCCAGAGAAAUCUCCGGGCUAAACAACUAAGCCCACGGGGCUAAAGUGUUGUUGUAUUUAAAAUGUAAGUUGUUUAGCCCCGACUGCGUUUUUUUUUUUGUCCAGUUAAGACCAGUUGUAAUAAAAAACACACCUAAUAUAAAAAAAUUUAGUGAAAAAUAGAAAAAAAACGUGGUCUCUUUUUGGUUGCAAAUGGCUUCAAAUACCAAUCGUCGGUCGUUCCUUUUUUCGAUUCCUUUUCUGGUACUUUUUAUGCUCCGACUCGGCUACGAGCUCGGGUCCAUUUUCUCGGAAUGGAGAAUUUCACCACACCAACACAUUUGCAAUCGGCUCCGCGGUGAUUAUAAUUUCCAUACUAAUUAGAGCCACGCGCCGUGGAGCCCGUUUCGUUAUCGAGCUCGGACUCGAGAUAUUUUAAAUCAAAAAAAUUUAAGUAUUUUAAUGAUGUGCAAG